rnacentral:rRNA from 1 species
GAUGAACGCUGGCGGCGUGCCUAAUACAUGCAAGUCGAGCGAACAGACGAGGAGCUUGCUCCUCUGACGUUAGCGGCGGACGGGUGAGUAACACGUGGAUAACCUACCUAUAAGACUGGGAUAACUUCGGGAAACCGGAGCUAAUACCGGAUAAUAUAUUGAACCGCAUGGUUCAAUAGUGAAAGACGGUUUUGCUGUCACUUAUAGAUGGAUCCGCGCCGCAUUAGCUAGUUGGUAAGGUAACGGCUUACCAAGGCAACGAUGCGUAGCCGACCUGAGAGGGUGAUCGGCCACCCUGGAACUGGGACACGGUCCAGACUCCUACGGGAGGCAGCAGUAGGGAAUCUUCGGCAAUGGGCGAAAGCUUGACGGAGCAACGCCGCGUGAGUGAUGAAGGUCUUCGGAUCGUAAAACUCUGUUAUUAGGGAAGAACAAAUGUGUAAGUAGCUAUGCACGUCGUGACGGUACCUAAUCAGAAAGCCACGGCUAACUACGUG